UACGAAGGGGGCUAGCGUUGUUCGGAAUCACUGGGCGUAAAGCGCACGCAGGCGGAUUGAUAAGUCAGGGGUGAAAUCCCGGAGCUCAACUUCGGAAUUGCCUUUGAUACUGUCUGUCUUGAGUCCGGGAGAGGUGAGUGGAAUUCCUAGUGUAGAGGUGAAAUUCGUAGAUAUUAGGAAGAACACCCAGGGGGAAACCAGCCGACUGGGCAAGUGCUGACGCUGAGGUGCGAGAGCGUGGGGAGCGAACCGG
rnacentral:rRNA from 1 species